rnacentral:rRNA from 1 species
UACGUAGGGUGCAAGCGUUGUCCGGAAUUUAUUGGGCGUAAAGAGCUCGUAGGCGGUUUGUCGCGUCUGCUGUGAAAACCCGAGGCUCAACCUCGGGCCUGCAGUGGGUACGGGCAGACUAGAGUGCGGUAGGGGAGAUUGGAAUUCCUGGUGUAGCGGUGGAAUGCGCAGAUAUCAGGAGGAACACCAAUGGCGAAGGCAGAUCUCUGGGCCGUAACUGACGCUGAGGAGCGAAAGCAUGGGGAGCGAACAGG